rnacentral:rRNA from 1 species
CCUACGGGAGGCUGCAGUGGGGAAUAUUGCACAAUGGGGGAAACCCUGAUGCAGCGACGCCGCGUGAGUGAAGAAGUACUUCGUUACGUAAAGCUCUAUCAGCAGGGACGAAACUGACGGUACCUGAGUAAGAAGCCCCGUCUAACUACGUGCCAGCAGCCGCGGUAAUACGUAGGGGGCAAGCGUUAUCCGGAUUUACUGGGUGGAAAGGGAGCGUAGUCGGUGCGCGAAGUCUGGAGUGAAAUGCCGCAGCUUAACUGCGGAAAUGGUUUGGAAACUGGCGAACUAGAGUGCGGGAGGGGUAAGCGGAAUGCCUAGUGUAGCGGGGAAAUGCGUAGAUAUCACGCAGAACUCCGAUUGCGAAGGCAGCAUACCGGCGCUCAACUGACGCUCAUGCACGAAAGUGUGGGUAUCGAACAGGAUUAGAUACCCUAGUAGUC